CCGUGAGUCGCUGCCCCGUGACGCCGCAGCGCUGCCGGCUCCAGCCCCGCCGCGGCCCGGCCCCUGCCCGGCCACCGGCCCCCCGGCCCCGGCGUCCUGCUCGGCGGCGCCCGACGCCCUCCGGGGCCGGAGCUGCCCCGGCUGCCCCGGGCCCUGCUCCCUUGGGGAGGGGGGACGGGCCCUGGCGGCCAGCACCGGCCCGGACCGGCCGGGAUCCGCCCCGUCGGCAGGCCCCGGCCCCCGCGGCGUCGGCACCGGCACCCGGUAGCAGUGGGUUAGCGAGGUGCGCUGAGAAUUUUGACUUAACCAUAAGGUGGAUGGAAAGUGAUACGUUGUUACGGAAACCAGGAGACUGAAGAGUGCUAGUUCAUAAGUUCACAGCUCUGUCAUAUCAGUCUCAGAAAUGUACACUGGCAUUUAUAAAGGACUGAAUUGGUAAUUUGAUCCAUAAAAGCAUCAUGACAGGCACAGCAGAAGAAAAUCAGUGGACGUGUCCAUCUUAAACUUUUUAAAGAUUAUCAAGGAAAGAUCCAACAAUGACAGUGAACAAAAGCUUCUUGAUGUGUGUCUCUGCAGAGGAUGGCAACAGAGGGGGGAAAAAAAAAGAUCUAGUGAGAAGCUAUAUGCUGAAAUCUUCUCAUCUUGAAAUUGAAAGUAUUUGUCAACACAAGGGUUGAGAAGCUAUACCAUCAAUUAUUAUAGCCAGAUUGCAUCUUGGUCUGCAUACACACACACACACACACACACACACACACACACACACACAAAUUCUUUUUUAUUAAACUUCUGAAUUGUUAGCACUGCUAGCUAUUCUGAAAGAAAUGGCAGAACAAAUGUGCUGAGAAUAAAGUCUAGGUCACAUCUUACUCUACGCUAAGCUAUAUAGAAUUGGCUCACAUCUCCAGUGUGCUUCACACUAUAAUGAUUGUGCUUUUCCUGAACACACUGUUUUUAGGUGUUUUUUCCCUCCUACCUCUCUGCUAGGCCAGGUGUCUGUAUCUUCUCCUGCCAUAGUGAUUUAUGCCUUCAUCAUGUCCAGGUCAAAGUAUUGCAUGUGAAUGUAACACCUCAUAGCACACUUCAGCCACCGCAAAUGCCAACAUUCGCAUUUGAGUACUCUUCCACACAGCCUAGAGGUUCACUGUUUAUUGGAUGAAAUGAAAGUCCUCAUCUUAAUCUACAUAUUUAUGAAAUAAUUUCUCUAUCUUACAUUCUUAUUACAUCCCCACCUGCCUCCUAAUUCAAAGUGUAGUAAGACAGUUACAUUCUGAAUGCAAACAUUAAAUACAGAAUGCUUUUGUUCAAAGUCAGAACUAAAAAUACAUAUUAAAAAAAGAAUGUUUGGUUUAGUUGAGAUAUUUGUUCUUUUUUUCUUUUCCUUCUCCUUUUAAAUGUAAAAUUAACAAACUUCAUAUUUGGUCUAAUAUGAUUUUUUUUAAUCUAAAACCAAAUCUCUUCCUUAAUAUUCAGACAUUUUAAUUGUUUUAAAUAUGUCAACUUCAAAAUGCAAAUAAAACCUAAAAAGA